CGGUACAACUUCGACAACUUCUAGUCUUAGAGAUGUCCGGGAGAAUUGUCCAUGUUUUCUCAGAAGUAGCUGGUCUAAACAAAAAACUUUCUAAAACCUGUCCAAAUGUGAGCUUCAAAGAAGUCAUAGUUCCAAAAUCACGARGCUUUGACGAAAAUGUGUUGUCACAACUGAGUGGUGCAGAAAUAUUAAUAUCUGAUCCACAUGUGARUCCCUAUGUUCAUAAACUUCCUAAUCUGAAAUGGCUGCAGCUAACAUGGGCUGGAGUUGACCUUAUUGCACCAUGCUUCAAAGAUCUUCCACCUCCAGCCUACCUCAUCACCCGUUUUGGUGGUGCAUUUGGWCCUGCAAUGUCAGAAUACGUCUUGGGAAAUAUUAUUGCACAGGAAAGGAAGUUUAAAUUAUUCUGGGAAAGGCAAAAAGAUCAUAUCUGGUUAAAAGACGCUAGCUACCGUACAUUGUCGCAGCUUACCCUUGGUAUUCUGGGAUAUGGAGACAUUGGUCAGUGCGUCGCAAGGAGCUGCAAAGCCCUGGGGAUGACGAUUUGGGCAAUGGGAAGAUCUCAAAGGAAUCAAUUACCAGAACACGUUGAUGAAUACAGAACAAAUUCCGGUCUCAGUGAAAUUCUACAAUCUUGUGAUUAUAUCUGCAACAUUUUACCAAGCACGCCCGAUACAAAGAACCUAUUAUCAGGAAAUGUACUUCAAGUUUGUAAAGCCCGUCAAGCGUGCUUUAUAAACGUAGGCAGAGGUGAUGUUAUCGACGAAAAAAGCCUUGUGAAUGCACUGAAGGAAGGCUGGAUAUCCGGAGCUGUUCUUGAUGUUACUGAAACUGAACCUUUACCGAUAGAAAGUGAAUUGUGGGAUAUGUCAGGGGUAACAAUUACUUCUCACUGUGCAGCGCUGCCGUUUAGCAACGAGGUUGCUGAGGUAUUUGCCAAGAAUUUGAAACUUUAUGAGGAAGGCAAACAGUUGKACUUCGUUGUGGACGUUAAGAGAGGAUAUUAAUGUAACGUUCAAGCAGACAAGUGUAUUGUACUACGAGGUUCUGAAGGGAUUUGGUUUACGGAUUCYAUGGAAACUAUUUCCAUGGUUACGGUGGUGACGUUCACAGGCGGUGCCUUUUGCAGAUGACAUAGUGAGAAACAGACCGUUGGCCUUUAUCGGAAAAAAUCAAACUCUACACUUUUGUGAAUCCGGUGUCAUCCUUAUAAACUGACUGAUGUUCGAGUUGACGAGAAUAACUCUUGUUCUUUUUGCGUUUUUGCAAAAUGACAUCACAUUGCGUUGCGGAGAUUCCGUUGCUUCAGCAUCAAGCUUGUCGGGACAUGGAUCAUCAGRGGCAGUGCAUCAUGGAACAUCUAUYCAUGCUGUURAAUCGACGAUGCAACGAAAUGAAGCGAC